GCUUGGGCGUGCCUCCACCCACGCCGGCGUCGGCGGGCGUAUUUCGCCUCACAGUAGGUCGCCGCGACCCGUUGCUUUUGGGGACGUCGAAGGCCCGGACGGAUUGGUACCCUACCGGCUGGGGAUGCGGCUUCGGCUUCUCCUCUUGUCCGGUGGGCGAAACCGCCGGUGUCCUGGCUGCCCUGCGACGGUCGUAGAGACGAGCCCUCCCCUUCGGGGGGGCGGCUCUCGCGGCGUGCAAAAGGUCGGUGAUCCACCCGACCCGUCUUGAAACACGGACCAAGGAGUCUAACAUGUGUGCGAGUCAGUGGGCGCACUAAACCCAGAGGCGUAAUGAAAGUGACACGGGUUCGGCUGUCGCCUCGUGUGGCAGCCGGACUCAGGGCCGAUCCCUCACCGGUUGCCCUCGCCUCUCUCCCGCGUCUCGGUAAGCCGGGUGAGCUAUUUUCCCCGGCCGCUGCUGCGGGGCGCGGGGGGAGGCGGGGUGCGACGGUGUCCGUAAAAAAGAGCCUGCUGUUGCAGGGGGGCGCAGGCCCGGGACUUGCCAGGACGCCGCGAGACUGUCACUUUGCUGUGAGGCUCUCGGGCCGAUCAGCGGGUCAUGCGUGCAGUCGGCAAGUACCAUGAGCAGACAUGUUGGGACCCGAAAGAUGGUGAACUAUGCCUGGCCAGGAUGAAGCCAGAGGAAACUCUGGUGGAGGUCCGUAGCG
rnacentral:rRNA from 1 species